ensembl:lncRNA
GGCUUUAGCCGCAAGCAGGACGCUCUUGGCGCUAUUCGUUGCGUUUUGCGCACCAGCAGGCGGAUGGGCAGGAAGUACUUUCAGAGUGGUCCCGCGCCUUUCUCUGCAACACCCUUCUUCUCAUUCGUUCACUUUGGGAGCUUCUCAAUACAAACACAGUUCCCCGCUGCAGGCGACCGAGCAGCUCUGCUGCUAAAUGUCUCUCUCUCGGGUGUUUUGACAGUAGUUGUUAAGGGUGAGAGAAGUCCCUGCGGUCACAAAAUGGGAAACAGACAUUUGUGGAUAAGGGCCCGAGGGAGAGCUGGGAGCCUUCAAUUCAUCUAGAUGGAAGACCUGUGGAUCGCUUUGUCAUCAGCUCCAACAAACCCACGAGGUCUCACCGCCUCACCAAAGGAAAGGACAGUCGCUCGCACGUACUGGAGGAUGUAG